UACGUAGGUGGCAAGCGUUGUCCGGAUUUACUGGGCGUAAAGAGCGCGCAGGCGGUCGUUCAAGUCGCGUGUGAAAGCCCCCGGCUCAACUGGGGAGGGUCACGCGAUACUGAUCGACUCGAAGGCAGGAGAGGGUAGUGGAAUUCCCGGUGUAGUGGUGAAAUGCGUAGAUAUCGGGAGGAACACCAGUGGCGAAGGCGACUACCUGGCCUGUUCAUGACGCUGAGGCGCGAAAGCUAGGGGAGCAAACGGG
rnacentral:rRNA from 1 species